AUACGGAGGGUGCAAGCGUUAUUCGGAAUCACUGGGCGUAAAGGACGCGUAGGCGGGUUGGCAAGUCAGAUGUGAAAUCCUACAGCUUAACUGUAGAACUGCAUUUGAAACUGCUAACCUAGAGUAUGGGAGGGGGAGAUGGAAUUAGUGGUGUAGGGGUAAAAUCCGUAGAUAUCACUAGGAAUACCGAAAGCGAAGGCGAUCUCCUGGAACAUAACUGACGCUAAGGCAUGAAAGCGUGGGGAGCAAACAGGAUUAGAUACCCUAGUAGUCC
rnacentral:rRNA from 1 species